UACGUAGGGUGCAAGCGUUGUCCGGAUUUACUGGGCGUAAAGGGCGCGUAGGCGGUCAGCACAAGUCAGUUGUGAAAUCUCCGGGCUUAACUCGGAAAGGUCAACUGAUACUGCUCGGCUAGAGUGCGGAAGGGGCAACUGGAAUUCUUGGUGUAGCGGUGAAAUGCGUAGAUAUCAAGAGGAACACCUGCGGCGAAGGCGGGUUGCUGGGCCGACACUGACGCUGAAGUGCGAAAGCUAGGGGAGCGAACGGG
rnacentral:rRNA from 1 species